AACGAACGCUGGCGGCAGGCUUAACACAUGCAAGUCGAACGCCCCGCAAGGGGAGUGGCAGACGGGUGAGUAACGCGUGGGAACAUACCCUUUUCUACGGAAUAGCUCUGGGAAACUGGAAUUCAUACCGUAUACGCCCUACGGGGGAAAGAUUUAUCGGGGAAGGAUUGGCCCGCGUUGGAUUAGCUGGUUGGUGGGGUAAAGGCCUACCAAGGCGACGAUCCAUAGCUGGUCUGAGAGGAUGAUCAGCCACAUUGGGACUGAGACACGGCCCAAACUCCUACGGGAAGCAGCAGUGGGGAAUAUUGGACAAUGGGCGCAAGCCUGAUCCAGCCAUGCCGCGUGAGUGAUGAAGGCCUUAGGGUUGUAAAGCUCUUUCACCGAUGAAGAUAAUGACGGUAGUCGGAGAAGAAGCCCCGGCUAACUUCGUG
rnacentral:rRNA from 1 species